rnacentral:rRNA from 1 species
UACAGAGGUCCCAAGCGUUGUUCGGAUUCACUGGGCGUAAAGGGUGCGUAGGUGGUAAGGUAAGUCGGAUGUGAAAGCUCCGAGCUCAACUCGGAAAUGGCAUUGGAAACUACCUUGCUCGAGGGUUUGAGGGGGGACUGGAAUACUUGGUGUAGCAGUGAAAUGCGUAGAUAUCAAGUAGAACACCAGUGGCGAAGGCGAGUCCCUGGAAAACUCCUGACACUGAGGCACGAAAGCUAGGGGAGCAAACAGG